CCUGGGACUUGCGUCCCAGGCUAACACAUCUCGUCGCUUCGCGACU
rnacentral:sRNA from 2 species